rnacentral:rRNA from 1 species
UACGUAGGGUGCAAGCGUUGUCCGGAAUUAUUGGGCGUAAAGAGCUCGUAGGCGGUCUGUCACGUCGGCUGUGAAAUCCCGAGGCUCAACCUCGGGUCUGCAGUCGAUACGGGCAAACUAGAGUAUUGCAGGGGAGACUGGAAUUCCUGGUGUAGCGGUGAAAUGCGCAGAUAUCAGGAGGAACACCGGUGGCGAAGGCGGGUCUCUGGGCCGAUAUCGACGCUGAGGAGCGAAAGCGUGGGGAGCAAACAGG